rnacentral:rRNA from 1 species
ACUCCUACGGGAGGCAUCAGUGGGGAAUUUUGGACAAUGGGGGCAACCCUGAUCCAACAACGCCGCGUGAAUGAAGAAGGCCCUAGGGUUGUAAAGUUCUUUUGUCAGGGAAGAAAAGGCUUGUGCUAAUAUCACAAGCUGCUGACGGUACCUGAAGAAUAAGCACCGGCUAACUACGUGCCAGCAGCCGCGGUAAUAC